rnacentral:rRNA from 1 species
AAUAGAUACCCGGGUAGUCCACGCCGUAAACGUUGGGCGCUAGAUGUGGGGACCAUUCCACGGUUUCCGCGUCGUAGCUAACGCAUUAAGCGCCCCGCCUGGGGAGUACGGCCGCAAGGCUAAAACUCAAAGGAAUUGACGGGGGCCCGCACAAGCGGCGGAGCAUGCGGAUUAAUUCGAUGCAACGCGAAGAACCUUACCAAGGCUUGACAUAUGCGAGAACGCUCUAGAAAUAGAGAACUCUUUGGACACUCGUAUACAGGUGGUGCAUGGUUGUCGUCAGCUCGUGUCGUGAGAUGUUGGGUUAAGUCCCGCAACGAGCGCAACCCUCGUCGCAUGUUGCCAGCACGUAAUGGUGGGAACUCAUGUGAGACUGCCGGGGUCAACUCGGAGGAAGGUGGGGAUGACGUCAAAUCAUCAUGCCCCUUAUGUCUUGGGCUUCACGCAUGCUACAAUGGCCGGUACAAAGGGCUGCGAAACCGCAAGGUAGAGCGAAUCCCAAAAAGCCGGUCUCAGUUCGGA